rnacentral:rRNA from 1 species
AUGGCGGCAGAAGCAGGGCGAGGCACUGGCAACAGUGGCAAGUGCCGCUACUGCAACAUGUCGGGUCACUGGAUCCGGGAUUGCCAUAGGAGGAAAGCCAACGAGGCAGCCUGGGCAAAGGCAAACCUCGUCCAGGCUGACGUGGACGGCGGGCCGGCAAUGAUGCUGGCAAGAGUCGAGCUCGUGCAGGAGAACUCAAUGUCUCUCGUGACCACGGCCCCGACAUCCACCCAUUCUGUGCAGGAGGCACGGAUCCCGUCCACAGGAACCAUCACUCCAGUGACAGGCCACACCUCGACAAUGACGUUCUCGGGGCCUGUCGACUGGGAGGCGAUGAAGGCUCGGGUGUGGGGGAGCCACACCCCGGCGACGGUGUCCCCGACAACCUCGGGACCCGACGAGGCCGCGCAAGUUGGCGUGACAAUGACGCAUAUGGCGGACCAUGCUCCGGCCAUGAUGCUGGCGACCAUCGACUCCGUGCAGGAGCGCACGGAGACUCGGGUCACCCACACCCCAACGACGAGAUGUUCGGGGUCUACUGCAUUGGCGGGAGAUAGCUCUCCGACAAUGGCAUGUGCAACGAGGAGAGAGUCGUGA